rnacentral:lncRNA from 1 species
CGUGCCACGAAGGGUGUGACACAUUCCAGCCUGGGUGGCACCCCUGUCCCUGUGUGGGGACACGACCCCCAGCAUUCAUGGGGACUGGGGACCUCACGCUCAUCCUUCCUGCCUCUAUUUCUGGGGGCAUCUUUCUCGCCUCCUGAGCGUGGCUCAUCCCCUGGCCUCUGUGCUGCUGUGGGGUCUCCCAUCCCUGCCUCUCCGACCCCCCUCUGUCUCCUUCCCAGCUCCUCCUCCUCUGCCCACCCUGUCCCUGGGGUACCUCUGGCCUCCUUUCGCCAUCUCCCUGGACACGCCAAGGACCUGCCCCUCCGCCCCCAGCGCCGACUGCGGCCUGGAGCCUUGGAUCCAGCACCUGCCUCUGGGAUGUUCCCCGGAGGCCCAGCUGAGACCCGGACCUGCCCCCCCGUCCUCCUCACUCUUCACGCAGCCGGGGGUCCAAAGGCUGCAGGACCCAAGCUCUGGAACCUUCCCACGAGCCUGCUGAGCGGGGCCCUUUGCCCCGGGGGCCCUGGCUCUGAGUUCGGGCUCCACCUCCCAGCCCCCUUCCACCACCCACGUGGCUGGCUGAGCGCCCAUCCACCUGCCCUGUGCCGCGGGCGGGGGGCUUUCAGGAGGCCCGGCUGUGCCCCAACAAUGCUGCUUUGUGCCAAGAGGGACCCAGAGCCUUGUAAAGGAGGAGCCCCUGCCACCAUCUCCCCAGUUUUGGAGGCACUUCGGGGGAGCAGGAGUUCCCAGGAUUCUUGAGGGCUGUCUGCAGCCCCUG